GGAGGGUAUAGCUCAGUGGUAGAGUGUGUGCUUAGCAUGCACGAGGUCCUGGGUUCAGUCCCCAGUACCUCCA
rnacentral:tRNA from 1 species